rnacentral:rRNA from 1 species
CCUACGGGUGGCAGCAGUGGGGAAUAUUGCACAAUGGGGGGAACCCUGAUGCAGCGAUGCCGCGUGGAGGAAGAAGGUUUUCGGAUUGUAAACUCCUUUUAUCAGGGACGAUAAUGACGGUUCCUGAAGAAAAAACCUCCGCUAACUACGUGCCAGCAGCCGCGGUAAUACGUAGGGAGCGAGCGUUGUCCGGAAUUACUGGGUGGAAAGGGAGCGUAGGCGGGACGGCAAGUCAGAUGUGAAAACUGCGGGCUCAACCUUCAGACUGCAACUGAAACUGCUGUUCUUGAGUGAAGUAGAGGUAAGCGGAAUUCCUAGUGUAGCGGUGAAAUGCGUAGAUAUUAGGAGGAACAUCAGUGGCGAAGGCGGCUUACUGGGCUUUUACUGACGCUGAGGCUCGAAAGCGUGGGGAGCAAACAGGAUUAGAUACCCGAGUAGUC